ensembl:snRNA RNU6-829P RNA, U6 small nuclear 829, pseudogene
GUGCUCACUUCAGCAGCACAUAUACUAAAAUUGAAAUGAUACAGAGAAGAUUAGCAUGGCCCCUGUGCAAGGAUGAAAUUGUCUACCUAUUAAACAGUAACUCCUCAUUAUU